UGAAAACUGAUGACGAAGAAAAGUAGCUUUACCCCACAGGGUUAGAGAUGAGAUACCAUGGCUGAAAGUAUCUCUCCCUGAUGAUAAAGUGAAAGACACUUCAUAGGUUUUAAUUCGAACGGUUAAGUUUUGACCUCAGUAGAGUUACACGUGGGCAAUCGUUACUUGCAUAAAUGAGGAAGCUAUUUUUAGCUUCGAAGCAGGGUGGCACCGCGGGAAAUCCCGUCCCUUAU
rnacentral:ncRNA from 1 species